AUGUCUUGUGAUGCGGUGAAAAUAUCCCGAAUCUUGACCGGGAGGCCUGGGUUCAAUUCACAGCGGGUGCAGGAUGAGGCUGUCACUGGCUCGGCCAGCAUUUAUUGCUGCGUUUACCCAGAGGGCAGUUAAGAGUCAACUGCGUUGCUAUAGGUCUGGAGUCCCAUGCAGACCAGACCAGAUCCCAGUGAUUAAUGCCAAAGCCCCAUUGCCUGGGGAGAAGGUGAUGUUUGACUU